GUGCACUGAAGGUAGGGAUGGCCAGUAGCAAAAUUAUAAAGCAGGCCUGUUUGUCUUCAAACACUCCUGAGUAAACUUGUCAUUUCCUUGUAAAAAUGCAAAAUAGACUACUGAGUAGAGGUGAUCAAUUAUAGAAAUGCACUUACUUUGGCUUUCUUCUGAAACCUAAUAAAAUGACAGUAAAGGGAUUAUUUUUUUAAGGCAGAAACCCACAAUGAUGAUGAAAUUAGAAAGGAAGACAAGAACAACAAGGUUGUGGAAUUCAGAAGCCAUAGAGACAAGAGGUAACACACCUGAGAAAGAUGAUCCCUAAGUUUGUCUUGGAGAAAACUCAGAAGUACCUGACUACAUCGUAGACCUCCCAAACAGCUUCCAAAUGUCAGAUACCACUGAACAUGGGGAUAAAGACCACUAGAGAUCAGAAAAUUAUUCUCUGGGGUAUCUGACCACUUCCAGAGGAAAGACAUAAAGAUGCUGAUGUCAAGAAUGACCCAACUAAACGGCCCAGCCACAUGACCCAGUUGAAGCUGGUGGACAAGAAGUUUCAUUCAUGGAAUCAGAACUUCCAAUAAGCUGGGAAAACGGCAAUGGAUUAAUAACAAGAAAUUAAUGGUGAAGUGGUGACUAAAAUUCUACAUUGCUUAGAAAGCAAGUAAGAAAAUCAGUGGUUGUAGAGAAGUUCUUCCAUGAGAUAGUGAAAUGAACAUUUACAUUCUGGCAACCUCAGAAGUACAACGAACAGAGGACACCCGCCAGGUAGGGCAAAGGCCUGUGCACCCCCUUUUGCUGUUACAUGUUUACCAGGUGCG
rnacentral:lncRNA from 10 species